UUGCCUAGAGAAACCUCCUGUUAGCUUAUCUUUCAGUUGACCCUCAGAAUAAAACAAUAAACAUCAAAGCAAUUCUGAUUCUCUCUACUUCAGUGUGGACUUCAAGGUGAUGAAUAUAACACAUAAGAUCCAGAUAAAAAAGAUCCAGACCUGGAGCUUCUGAUGCCACAGCAUGACCAAAGCCGAGCAUGCCAAGAAAGUGCUUCGUCUCCAGUGCGCUGCUCAGUCAAUCAGUUAACACCGGGUGUCAUCAGUAUGUAAGGCAUGUAAGAACUACUGUAUUGAUGCAUUCACUCAGCCGUGGGGAGCGCUGCACAAAAUCACCGAACAUGGCAGGAAUCAUUUAUUUCUGUGAAGGGAAUCAGUCCUAAUCUUGGAAAGCUUGCAGCCCUUGGCUUCUGUCUGCUUGACUUUGGCAUUAACCUUCAGAACACGAACAUGACGGGGUUUGGGCAAAUCCAAGAAAAAAAUAGAUAGAAGAAUAAAUCUCUUCAAAUGGGAA